rnacentral:rRNA from 1 species
AAUAUUUGACAAUGGGGGAAACUCUGAACCAGCCAUGCCGCGUGUGUGAAGAAGGUCUUCGGAUGGUAAAGCACUUUAAGUUGGGGGGAAGGGUUGUUGGCUAAUAUCCAGCAAUUUUGACGUUACCGACAGACUAGGAACCGGCUAACUCUGUGCCAGCAGCCGCGGUAAUACAGAGGGUCCAAGCGGUAAUCGGAAUUACUGGUAAUAAAGCGCGCGUAUGUGUUUCAGUAAGAUGGGUGUGAAAUCCCCGGGCUUAACCUGGGAACUGCUUUCAUAACUGCUGAGCUAGAGUACGGUUGAGUGUAGUGGAAUUUCCUGUGUAGCGGUGAAAUGCGUAGAUAUAGGAAGGAACAUCAGUAGCGAAGGCGACUACCUGGACUGAUACUGACACUGAGGUGCGAAAGCGUGGGGAGCAAACA